GUCGAGGGGCAGCAUAUGGAUUGCUUGCAAUCCAUGAUGGCGACCCGCUCACGGGUGCGUAACGCGUAUGUAACUUGCCUUAUGCACGUGGAUAACCCGAAGAAAUUCGGCCUAAUACUCCAUAAGUGUCAGAGAGGCAUCUUUCGGGCAUGAAAGAUUUAUCGGCAUAAGAUAGACAUGCGUGACAUUAGCUAGUCGGUGAGGUAACGGCUCACCGAGGCGACGAUGUCUAGGGGUUCUGAGAGGAAGGUCCCCCACACUGGUACUGAGACACGGACCAGACUCCUACGGGAGGCAGCAGUGAGAAUAUUGGUCAAUGGACGGAAGUCUGAACCAGCCAUGCCGCGUGCAGGAUGACGGCUCUAUGAGUUGUAAACUGCUUUUGUACGAGAAUAAUAGUUCUUACGUGUAGGGAUUUGAAUGUAUCGUACGAAUAAGGAUCGGCUAACUCCGUGCCAGCAGCCGCGGUAAUACGGAGGAUUCGAGCGUUAUCCGGAUUUAUUGGGUUUAAAGGGUGCGUAGGCUGUCGGAUAAGUUAGAGGUCAAAUGUCGGGGCUUAACCCCGUGCCUGCCUCUGAUACUGUUCGACUGGAGAGCGGAUGCAGCAGGCGGAAUGAGUAGUGUAGCGGUGAAAUGCUUAGAUAUUACUCAGAACACCGAUUGCGCAGGCAGCUUGCUAAUCCGCAUCUGACGCUGAUGCACGAAAGCGUGGGUAGCGAACAGGAUUAGAUACCCUGGUAGUCCACGCAGUAAACGAUGAUAACUCGUUGUCGGCGAUAUACAGUCGGUGACCCAGCGAAAGCGAUAAGUUAUCCACCUGGGGAGUACGACC
rnacentral:rRNA from 1 species